AACAAGUAUGCCGUCUCACUGUGCUGCAUACAAUUACACACUGCGUCGUACGAUUGACACAAGGAAACUUGGAAUGACUUUUCAUAGGUUUCCCAGAGACUAUGGGUUGAGGAGGAAGUGAAAGUUUGUCGGCUUAGACCUGGUGCCAUUCCGUCAGUGUUAAACUUCCUGGCUCAUCUUGGAAGAGUACGUGCCAGAAAGACCACGACCAAGCAGCCUUGAGAUCUUAGGCAGCGUCUCCCUGAGACCAAAGAACUACAGACUCUUCACAACCUGCUCAAACUCUUGGUACAGGACCUCACCACACGGUCAAGAAGGUUUCCUUCUCCUCAUUUCUACUCUGAAGCUCACCUUCUCCUGCUCAAACUGCUGACAAAUGUUUCUGCUGCUCUAAAGUCUGGUCUCCAGAACUUCCUAAAAACUCUCCAAGUGUCUUCUGCUGCAGGUUGCUAUGUAGAACUGUUGCAGAAAACCUCACUAAACCACAUGGAGGGGCCUCAAGAUAGUCGUCCAAAUGAAACUGUACAAAAACCAAACUAGCACAACCCAAACACUAAAGUCUCCUGCAGCCUACCAGAGAACCUCUGAAAACAGAGAAUCAGGACAGGAACUCUUACCUUCUGGACAACCAACGCUGGUUCUCAAACAAGAAUACAGAAUGUGUCUGACCAAAAACCUCUGAAGACUCACUACAGCCAAGAUAAAGACACAGCUGCACCAAAUCCACUAAUCACUGCACACAUUAGCACCAUGUGCUAACUGUGGCUAAAGAACCUCAUUUACCAAGACAACUAUCCAGUACAAAGCCCGAAAACACACCAAGAAACACAUUAAAGCCGAUUUUACUGCUGGAAGCUGCAAGCCAACGCCUAAAGAACUAACUAAAGCAACAGAGCCAAACCCAGUUCAGUGGUGAAGAGAAGCAGAGGAAAUGUUUGUCUGCAGCUAAAUAAAGCAGGAAGACACUGAGCUGCUCAGGUGUUCCUGAUAACACCAAGCAGCCACCUGGACAGCCAAUAGGAACACAGCUUCCUGGAAGUCCAGAGGGCUGGCUUAGUGAAGGAAAUUUAAUUUAAAGUUGAAGCAGAAAGUUAAUAAAGAAAGUUGAAAACCACCUUCUGAUUCCUGAAAUCUCUGAGUUUUUACACAAAGAACACCUGAACAUGUCAAACUGGUUCCAUAGUAGAACCAUCAUUGUAAAAAUGUCAUAGUAUGGUGUGUUGCUCAAAAAACAUUAGGACCUGGCUGUCAGGGGACAAACAUGUAAGAAACAUGAGAACAGAGAGAACCCAACCAGUAGGUCACAGUUUAUCAUCCCCCAGUCAUCUCCUGAAGUCCAUAUGGUGAGAGACAUCAGUAUCUGGUUGUUAAUUUACUAGAGGAUGCUUAUAAUCAUGCUGAUGUGGUCUGUACUCUACAGUAUUUUAGUGACUCAAUAAAUGCCUAAGUUGUUUUUUUAAAAAUGCUUUUUAGUUUUUAAUGAACAUUUAAUAGCC
ensembl:lncRNA